rnacentral:rRNA from 1 species
UACGUAGGGGGCGAGCGUUGUCCGGAUUUAUUGGCGUAAAGAGCUCGUAGGCGGCUUGGCAAGUCGGGUGUGAAACCUCCAGGCUCAACCUGGAGACGCCACUCGAUACUGCUAUGGCUAGAGUCCGGUAGGGACCACGGAAUUCCUGGUGUAGCGGUGAAAUGCGCAGAUAUCAAGAGGAACACCAGUGGCGAAGGCGAGUCCCUGGACGAUACCUGACACUGAGGCACGAAGCUAGGGAGCAAACAGG